rnacentral:rRNA from 1 species
GGCGAACGGGUGAGUAACACGUGAGUAACCUGCCCUUGACUUUGGGAUAACUUCAGGAAACUGGGGCUAAUACCGGAUAGGAGCUCCUGCUGCAUGGUGGGGGUUGGGAAAGUUUCGGCGGUUGGGGAUGGACUCGCGGCUUAUCAGCUUGUUGGUGGGGUAGUGGCUUACCAAGGCUUUGACGGGUAGCCGGCCUGAGAGGGUGAUCGGCCACACUGGAACUGAGACACGGUCCAG